CCUACGGGUGGCUGCAGUGGGGGAUAUUGCACAAUGGAGGAAACUCUGAUGCAGCAACGCCGCGUGAGGGAAGAAGGUCUUCGGAUCGUAAAGCUCUGUUGUUAGGGAAGAACAAGUACGGGAGGAAAUGACCGUACCUUGACGGUACCUAACGAGGAAGCCACGGCUAACUACGUGCCAGCAGCCGCGGUAAUACGUAGGUGGCAAGCGUUGUCCGGAAUUAUUGGGCGUAAAGCGCGCGCAGGCGGUCUUUUAAGUCUGAUGUGAAAUCUUGCGGCUCAACCGCAAGCGGUCAUUGGAAACUGGGAGACUUGAGUGCAGAAGGGGAAAGCGGAAUUCCACGUGUAGCGGUGAAAUGCGUAGAGAUCGGGAAGAACACCAGUGGCGAAGGCGGCCUGCUGGGCUUUAACUGACGCUGAGGCACGAAAGCGUGGGUAGCAAACAGGAUUAGAUACCCCAGUAGUC
rnacentral:rRNA from 1 species